rnacentral:rRNA from 1 species
GAUGAACGCUGGCGGCGUGCCUAAUACAUGCAAGUAGAACGCAGUUGCGAACGGGCGAGUAACGCGUAGGUAACUGCCUGGUAGCGGGGGGUAACAACUGGAAACGAUAGUUACUAACGCAUACUACCAGACGGACCUGUGUUGUAUUAGCUAGUUGGUGGGGUAACGGCUCACAAAGGAAACGAUACAUAGCCGACCUGAGAGGGUGGUCGGCCACACUGGGACUGGGACACGGCCCAGACUCCUACGGGAGGCAGCAGUAGGGAAUCUUCGGCAAUGGACGGAAGUCUUACCGAGCAACGCCGCGGGAGUGAAGAAGGUUUUCGGAUCGUAAAGCUCUGUUGUAAGAGAAGCGGUAUCUUACCAGAAAGGGACGGCUAACUACGUGCCAGCCGCCGCGGUAAUAC